rnacentral:rRNA from 1 species
UACGUAGGGGGCGAGCGUUGUCCGAAGUUACUGGGCGUAAAGCGCGCGCAGGCGGUCCCUUAAGUCUGAUGUGAAAGCCCACGGCUCAACCGUGGAGGGUCAUUGGAAACUGGGGGACUUGAGUACAGAAGAGGAAAGCGGAAUUCCACGUGUAGCGGUGAAAUGCGUAGAGAUGUGGAGGAACACCAGUGGCGAAGGCGGCUUUCUGGUCUGUAACUGACGCUGAGGCGCGAAAGCGUGGGGAGCAAACAGG